rnacentral:tRNA from 1 species
AAAUGAUUCUUAUCUCUUUUUGGAGAGAUGGCCGAGAGGAUUAAAGCGUCGGAUUGCUAAUCCGUCGUA